rnacentral:lncRNA from 1 species
GUUGGCCAUAAACUAAGUUGCGCACAUAUACCGUCCACGUCGGCUAGAUGCUAGACAAGCUGGAUGUAUUUAUACAGUAAACGGAUUGGAGGUCAGGGAGAGAAAGGGAAAAGAGAUCACUUCAAAAUCAGCCAAACUGUGAAUCGAAGACUAUCAUAUAGAUAACGUCCUAAUAUUCAUAAAAUCACCGGUCUGCAGCAACCGGAGUCAACGAGUGGCCUGAGGCUGCAGGGGAAACUCGCUGCUCUGGACUGUGCUGACCACUCUGUCUCCACGUUCCAUGUUCCAGAAUGCUGCCGUUGGCGAGGACAAUCUCAUCUUUACUGUUAAGGCGAGGCUGCAAGUUCUACCAACAAAAUAUAAUCUAGCACUCUGGUACCCUGCAAACCAUAGGUUUGGCCGAUAC